AUAUCAAUAAGCGGAGGAAAAGAAACUAACAAGGAUUCCCCUAGUAACUGCGAGUGAAGCGGGAAGAGCUCAAAUUUAAAAUCUGGCAGUGUAAAAGCUGUCCGAGUUGUAAUUUAGAGAAGUGUUUUCUGUGCCAAGCCGUGUACAAGUCUCCUGGAAUGGAGCGUCAUAGAGGGUGAGAAUCCCGUCUUUGACACGGACAAAUAUGGUGCUCUGUGAUACACUCUCAAAGAGUCGAGUUGUUUGGGAAUGCAGCUCAAAAUGGGUGGUGAACUCCAUCUAAAGCUAAAUAUUGGCGAGAGACCGAUAGCGAACAAGUACCGUGAGGGAAAGAUGAAAAGCACUUUGGAAAGAGAGUGAAACAGUACGUGAAAUUGCUGAAAGGGAAACGCUUGAAGUCAGUCACAUUGGCUAGGACUCAGCCUCCUUUAAUUAGGUGGUGUACUUUCUAGUGAAUGGGCCAGCAUCACUUUUGGCUUUGCUGGAAAAGGGUGAAGGAAAUGUGGCACUCUGUUUCAGAGUGUGUUAUAGUCCUUUAUCAUAUACAGUGGCUAGGAGUGAGGAAUGCCUUUUUUGUAGGAUGCUGGCAUAAUGGCUUUAAACGACCCGUCUUGAAACACGGACCAAGGAGUCUAACAUGCAUGCAAGUGUUUGGGUGGUUAAAACCCAUGCGCGUAAUGAAAGUGAAAGUCAGGAAGGCUGUCAUGGUCUGCACUGAUGCCCGGACUUGAGAUUUAUCGACAGUUCUGCGGUAGAGCAUGUAUGUUAGGACCCGAAAGAUGGUGAACUAUGCCUGAAUAGGGUGAAGCCAGAGGAAACUCUGGUGGAGGCUCGUAGCGAUUCUGACGUGCAAAUCGAUCGUCAAAUUUGGGUAUAGGGGCGAAAGACUAAUCGAACCAUCUAGUAGCUGGUUCCUG
rnacentral:rRNA from 1 species